GGUGUCUAACCAGCCUCCUCUCUGAUAUGCAAAAUUAUGAUGACUUGGAAAGCUCAAAGAGAAGUGUCUGGAAUCAGAAUUGCUUGGUGGAAAGGCAAAGCAGGAGGACCCACAUUGGAUUAUAAACCUCUCUGGAAGAAAAUCUUACUCAGGAGGCAAACAGACUUCUUCCCAUGAACACUAGGCUAGAAACAACCCAUUAAACCCAUCAAGUGGAGAAUAGGAAAUGAGAAAGAAGACAAUGGACUCUACAUAGAAAACAUCUAUCUACAAACAUGAGUAAGUGUUUCAAUAAUUGCUGAAGAACAACAAGCCAAUGAAUGCUGCAGGCGAACUGACCUGGGAAAGCUUCCUCUUGGCCAACAUGGAAAUAGGAGGUUCAGAUUGGUGGAGGAAAAGAGGGACACCUCACACUUGCCCAGCAUGAUCAGCAGUAAAAAACACCAUAUGGAGAAGUUCAUGAUCAGGGGAGAGGAAGGCAGCUGCCUGGAGCCCUAUCCAUCAUCCACAUUCAGGUUCCCACGAUCAAUGCCACAGUCAGUCAUUGGCCAUCCUUGAAACACCAGAAUCAUUAUGAACAAACACCAGAGACUCACAGAUUGAAUUCCUCUUACUGCUCCAGAGGCCAGCAAUGCCAAACAUACAGGAUGCACAAAAAUUGCUUUAUGAGAUUGCUGAUUCUCUGAGACCAGCUACAUCCUUUUCUUGAAUCUUAUCUUUCUCAUCUACUUCUCUGACUCCAGAGCUUUUCUAUAAUAAUGUUUUGAGCUGAAAGUACACUAUAUUUCAGAUCUCCCUUUAAUAUUUUGGUUAAGAUGAAAAUCAUGUCUCUCAAGAGGGAGAAUAUCCAAAUUUGAAUCUUGACCUUUAUUUGGAUUCCCGGAGUAACUUUGUGAAAACUCUCUUAUUCUCCCAUUCCCCAUUCCAUUAUUUAUAAAAUAAAACUGUCUUAUACCUAA
rnacentral:lncRNA from 1 species